UACGAAUGGGGCAAGCGUUGUUCGGAAUCACUGGGCUUAAAGCGUGCGUAGGCGGAUUUGCAAGUCAGAAGUGAAAUCCCAGGGCUUAACCCUGGAAUUGCUUUUGAAACUGCAAAUCUAGAAGAUUGAAGAGGUUAGCAGAAUUCCGAGUGUAGAGGUGAAAUUCGCAGAUAUUCGGAGGAAUACCAAUGGCGUAGGCAGCUAACUGGGCAAUUUUUGACGCUGAGGCACGAAAGCGUGGGGAGCAAACAGG
rnacentral:rRNA from 1 species